GACGAACGCUGGCGGCGUGCCUAAUACAUGCAAGUUGAGCGAUAAAGAUUGGUGCUUGCACCGAUUUGAAGAGCAGAGCACGGGUGAGUAACGCGUGGGGACUCUGCCUUUGAGCGGGGGACAACAUGGGGAAACGAAUGCUAAUCCCGCAUAACAACUUUAAACAUAAGUUUUAAGGUUGAAAGAUGCAAUUGCAUCACUCACAGAUGAUCCCGCGUUGUAUUAGCUAGUUGGUGAGGUAAAGGCCCAGCAAGGCGUGGAGACAUAGCCGACCUGAGUGGCGGGUCGCCCACCUGGGGACGUGGCCACGGCCCAUACGCCUACGGGAGGCAGCAGUAGGGAACCUUCGGCAACGGUGGAAAGUCUGACCGAGCAGCCCCGCGUGAGUGAAGAAGGUGUUCGGAUCGUAAAGCUCUGUUGGUAGUGAAGAACGUUUGUGGGAGGGGAAAGCGCAUCAAUGGCCGGAAACGACCCAGAAAGGGCCGCUUACCUACGG
rnacentral:rRNA from 1 species